GCCGUCAACGGCGCGGCGAUGGAGCGUCGAUUAUGUUGAAACGGCGAAGUGGGAAUAAAGGAGAAAAGCAUGAGAGUGUAACAGAGGGGAUUGUUCAGGGCGGAGAUGGAUGGCGGCAAGAAGCACAGAGAGACGGUGAAGCAGAGAAGAACAAUGGUUGUUGUUGUUUCUCUGUGACAUUUCAUAAGUUGAUGGUUUUAAUCUCACCCAUUGAAAAGUUUAAUUGCCACAUGUCACUCAUCUGGAUGAAAACUGGAGGGUAAUGGAGAAUAAACUAAUGGAGUGGAUCUGAACUCCUUUUCCAACAGCCAUAAAAACCAUCACUAUAUAGACUAUUGUAACGGUAAAUAUCCGUUGGUAUUGGAAAUUAAAGGUGAUGGAUGUACAGUGCUGUUGGAAUAGGUUUUUUGGGAUAUAGCAACGGAUUUGUGCCCUUUACAUAUGGCAGUUUGCUGUCACUAUAAGUCAAUUUUCUUGUAGUGUAAUUAGUAAAAAUAUUAUUAAUAUUUACUUAAAUAGGCUGACCUA
rnacentral:lncRNA from 1 species